UUAUUACGGGGCUUAGCUGGCCGUACCUAUCGAAUACUUCUGCUUUAUGCCUCGGUGCAAGGCGGAGAACAGAAAGCGGAGAAUUAAAAAGGGGCGGUCGCAGCUGCUAUUGAAGUUCACCCUUGCCGACAGCGGCACUUUUUUCCUGUAAUUGUUUAUACGGUUAAUUUAAGAGAUUUCAAUAUUUUAUCUAUUUAUUUUAUUUUAAAUUAUAUAUCGCAAAAAUGCCUGAACUUAAGAAAUUAUUUGAGAAUCUGAGCGGCGCGGGGAAAGCCAUCGGCGUUCUGACGAGCGGAGGGGAUGCUCAAGGCAUGAACGGCGCGGUGAGGGCCGUGGUCCGCAUGGGGAUCUACGUCGGGGCGAAAGUCUACUUCAUUCACGAGGGUUACCAGGGCAUGGUGGACGGGGGCGAUAACAUAAAGGAAGCAAACUGGGAGAGUGUCUCCAGCAUGAUACAAGUGGGCGGCACGGUGAUUGGCAGCGCCCGCUGUAAGGAGUUCCGGGCGCGCGAGGGGCGUCUGAGGGCCGCCCGUAACCUGGUGGAGCGCGGCAUCACCAACCUGUGCGUGAUUGGAGGAGACGGCAGCCUGACGGGAGCCAAUCUCUUCAGGGAGGAGUGGAGCGGACUGCUGGAGGAGCUGGUCCAGCAGGGCUCGAUCGCGGAGGAGGCGGCCCAGACGUACUCCGCCCUGCGCAUCGUGGGCAUGGUGGGGUCCAUCGACAACGACUUCUGCGGCACGGACAUGACCAUCGGGACGGACUCGGCCCUGCACAGGAUCAUCGAGGUGGUGGACGCCAUCAUGACCACCGCCCAGAGCCACCAGAGGACGUUCGUGUUGGAGGUCAUGGGCAGGCAUUGUGGGUACCUGGCCCUGGUCAGUGCUCUGGCCUGUGGGGCAGACUGGGUCCUGAUCCCAGAGCUGCCUCCAGAGGUCGGAUGGGAGGACCAGAUGUGCCAGAAGCUGUCUGAGAAUCGCGCGGGGAAGAAAAGACUGAACAUCAUUAUUGUAGCCGAAGGGGCGAUUGAUUCCGACAACAAGCCCAUCACCACAGACUUCAUUAAGGACCUGGUGGUGCGGCGCCUGGGCUUCGACACGCGGGUGACCAUCCUGGGGCACGUCCAGCGGGGAGGAACCCCGUCCGCUUUCGACAGGAUUCUGGCCAGUCGGAUGGGUGUGGAGGCGGUGCUGGCGCUGCUGGAGGCCUCUGUGGACACGCCCGCCUGCGUGGUGUCGCUCUGCGGGAACCAGGCCGUGCGGCUGCCCCUCAUGGAGUGCGUGCAGAUGACCCAGGAGGUGCAGAAGGCCAUGGAUGAGAAGAGGUUUGAGGAGGCUGUACGACUGCGGGGAAGGAGUUUUGAGAACAAUCUGAACACUUACAAACUGCUGGCUCACCGCAGACCGGACUCUGAGCUUCCGCACAGCUCCUUCAACGUGGCGGUGCUGAACGUGGGCGCGCCCGCCGCAGGCAUGAACGCCGCCGUGCGCUCCGCCGUCCGGGUGGGCAUCACCGAGGGGCACACCAUGUUCGCCGUCAGCGACGGGUUCGAGGGCUUCGCCAGGGGCCAGAUUAAGGAGAUCAAAUGGGGGGACGUGGGAGGCUGGACAGGCCAAGGCGGCUCGCUUUUGGGGACAAAACGAACACUUCCUGCGAAACACAUCGAAAAAAUUGCCGAACAAAUGCGCAUCCACAACAUCAACGCCCUGCUGGUGAUCGGGGGAUUCGAGGCCCUGGAGAGCCUGCUGCAGCUGCGCGAGGCUCGCGCUGCCUUCGAGGAGCUUUGCGUCCCGCUCUGUAUGCUGCCCGCCACCAUAAGUAACAAUGUGCCCGGCACCGAUUUCAGUAUCGGCGUCGACACCUCCCUCAAUGCCAUCGUGGAGACGUGCGACCGCAUCAAGCAGUCGGCGAGCGGGACCAAGCGCCGCGUCUUCAUCAUCGAGACCAUGGGAGGCUACUGCGGGUACCUGGCCAGCGUCGGCGGGCUGGCGGCUGGAGCCGACGCCGCCUACAUUUACGAGGAGCCCUUCGACAUCCGGGACCUUCAGGCCAACGUGGAGCACCUGACGGAGAAGAUGAAGACCAGCAUUCAGAGGGGACUAGUUCUGAGAAAUGAGAACAGCAGUCAAAACUACACCACGGAUUUCAUCUACCAGCUGUACACCGAGGAAGGCAGGGGCGUGUUCGACUGCAGGAAGAACGUGCUGGGCCACAUGCAACAGGGAGGUGCUCCGUCACCUUUCGAUAGAAACUUUGGAACGAAGAUCUCAGCCAAGGCCAUGCUGUGGAUCUCCAAGAAACUGCAGGAGUCGUACAGACAAGGGAAGGUGUUUGUGUGUGUGUGUGCGUGUGUAUGUGUGUAAUAACAGUGUUGUUGUCGUGGUUACGCAGGGAAGGUGUUUGUGUGUUAGUGUGUGUGUAUGUGUGUAAUGACGGUGUUGUUGUGGUGGUUACGCAGGGAAGGUGUUUGUGUGGUUGUGUGUGUGUGUGUGUGUGUGUAAUGACGGUGUUGUUGUCGUGGUUACGCAGGGAAGGUGUUUGUGUGUAAUGACGGAGUUGUUGUCGUGGUUAUGCAGGGAAGGUGUUUGUGUGUUAGUGUGUGUGUAUGUGUGUAAUGACGGUGUUGUUGUCGUGGUUACGCAGGGAAGGUGUUUGUGUGUAAUGACGGAGUUGUUGUCGUGGUUAUGCAGGGAAGGUGUUUGUGUGUAAUGACGGAGUUGUUGUCGUGGUUAUGCAGGGAAGGUGUUUGUGUGUUAGUGUGUGUGUAUGUGUGUAAUGACGGUGUUGUUGUCGUGGUUACACAGGGAAGGUGUUUGUGUGUGUGUGUCUUUGUGUGUAAUGAAGGAGUUGUUGUCGUGGUUACACAGGGAAGGUGUUUGUGUGUGUGUGUGUAUGUGUGUGUUUGUGUGUUAGUGUUUGUGUAUGUGUGUAAUGACGGUGUUGUUGUCGUGGUUACGCAGGGAAGGUGUUAGUGUGUGUGUGUGUGUGUUUGUGUGUAAUGACGGUGUUGUUGUCGUGGUUACACAGGGAAGGUGUUUGUGUGUGUGUGUGUGUAUGUGUGUAAUGACGGUGUUGUCGUCGUGGUUACGCAGGGAAGGUGUUUGCUAACUCGGAGGACUCGGCCUGCCUGCUGGGGAUGCGCCGGAGGGCGCUGGUCUUCCAGCCCGUCAGCCAGCUGAAGGACGAGACCGACUUCAUUCACAGGAUCCCGAAGGAGCAGUGGUGGCUGAAGCUCCGCCCCCUGAUGAAGAUCCUGGCCAAGUACAAGACCAGCUUUGACGUGUCCGACUCGGGCCAGCUGGAGCACCUGGUGCGCAACAGGCCCAAGGAGUCCGACCCCGCCAUCUGAAGCCCCGCCCCCACGAAGCCCCGCCUCCUGAAGCCCCGCCCCCC